UUGCCUCGGCGGGAUCUCUGCCCCGGGUGCGUCGCAGCCCCGGACCAAGGCGCCCGCCGGAGGACCAACCUAAAACUCUUAUUGUAUACCCCCUCGCGGGUUUUUUUAUAAUCUGAGCCUUCUCGGCGCCUCUCGUAGGCGUUUCGAAAAUGAAUCAAAACUUUCAACAACGGAUCUCUUGGUUCUGGCAUCGAUGAAGAACGCAGCGAAAUGCGAUAAGUAAUGUGAAUUGCAGAAUUCAGUGAAUCAUCGAAUCUUUGAACGCACAUUGCGCCCGCCAGUAUUCUGGCGGGCAUGCCUGUCCGAGCGUCAUUUCAACCCUCGAACCCCUCCGGGGGGUCGGCGUUGGGGAUCGGCCCUCCCUUAGCGGGUGGCCGUCUCCGAAAUACAGUGGCGGUCUCGCCGCAGCCUCUCCUGCGCAGUAGUUUGCACACUCGCAUCGGGAGCGCGGCGCGUCCACAGCCGUUAAACACCCAACUUCUGAAAUGUUGACCUCGGAUCAGGUAGGAAUACCCGCUGAACUUAAGCAUAUCAAUAAGCGG
rnacentral:rRNA from 1 species